rnacentral:rRNA from 1 species
CUUUAGUUGCCAUCAUUAAGUUGGGCACUCUAAAGAGACUGCCGGUGGUCAAACCGGAGGAAGGUGGGGAUGACGUCAAGUCCUCAUGGCCUUUAUGACCAGGGCUACACACGUACUACAAUGGCAGGUACAAAGGGCAGCCACUUAGCGAUAAGGCGCGAAUCCCGUAAAACCUGUCUCAGUCCGGAUUGGAGUCUGCAACUCGACUCCAUGAAGUUGGAAUCGCUAGUAAUCGCAGAUCAGCACGCUGCGGUCGAAUACGUUCCCGGGCCUU